AGUCGACGAAGAUUUUAGAAUGAGAGCUUCGGCAGGAUUUUUAUCUAUCUUAGUGGCGGACGGGUGAGUAACGUGUGGGCAACCUGCCCUGUACUGGGGAAUAAUCAUUGGAAACGAUGACUAAUACCGCAUGUGGUCCUCGGAAGGCAUCUUCUGAGGAAGAAAGGAUUUAUUCGGUACAGGAUGGGCCCGCAUCUGAUUAGCUAGUUGGUGAGAUAACAGCCCACCAAGGCGACGAUCAGUAGCCGACCUGAGAGGGUGAUCGGCCACAUUGGGACUGAGACACGGCCCAAACUCCUACGGGAGGCAGCAGUGGGGAAUAUUGCACAAUGGGCGAAAGCCUGAUGCAGCAACGCCGCGUGAAGGAUGAAGGGUUUCGGCUCGUAAACUUCUAUCAAUAGGGAAGAAACAAAUGACGGUACCUAAAUAAGAAGCCCCGGCUAACUACGUGCCAGCAGCCGCGGUAAUACGUAGGGGGCAAGCGUUAUCCGGAAUUACUGGGUGUAAAGGGAGCGUAGGCGGCAUGGUAAGCCAGAUGUGAAAGCCUUGGGCUUGACCCGAGGAUUGCAUUUGGAACUAUCAAGCUAGAGUACAGGAGAGGAAAGCGGAAUUCCUAGUGUAGCGGUGAAAUGCGUAGAUAUUAGGAAGAACACCAGUGGCGAAGGCGGCUUUCUGGACUGAAACUGACGCUGAGGCUCGAAAGCGUGGGGAGCAAACAGGAUUAGAUACCCUGGUAGUCCACGCCGUANACGAUGAGUGCUAGGUGNCGGGGAGGAAUCCUCGGUGCCGCAGCUAACG
rnacentral:rRNA from 1 species